GAUUGAACGCUGGCGGCAUGCUUUACGCAUGCAAGUCGAACGGUAACAGGCCGCAAGGUGCUGACGAGUGGCGAACGGGUGAGUAAUGCAUCGGAACGUGCCCAGUCGUGGGGGAUAACGCAGCGAAAGCUGUGCUAAUACCGCAUACGAUCUACGGAUGAAAGCAGGGGACCGCAAGGCCUUGCGCGGACGGAGCGGCCGAUGGCAGAUUAGGUAGUUGGUGGGAUAAAAGCUUACCAAGCCGACGAUCUGUAGCUGGUCUGAGAGGACGACCAGCCACACUGGAACUGAGACACGGUCCAGACUCCUACGGGAGGCAGCAGUGGGGAAUUUUGGACAAUGGGCGCAAGCCUGAUCCAGCCAUUCCGCGUGCAGGAUGAAGGCCUUCGGGUUGUAAACUGCUUUUGUACGGAACGAAACGGCGAGCUCUAAUACAGUUUGCUAAUGACGGUACCGUAAGAAUAAGCACCGGCUAACUACGUG
rnacentral:rRNA from 1 species